rnacentral:rRNA from 1 species
UACAGAGGUCUCAAGCGUUGUUCGGAUUCAUUGGGCGUAAAGGGUGCGUAGGCGGCGCGGUAAGUCGGGUGUGAAAUCUCGGGGCUUAACUCCGAAACUGCAUUCGAUACUGCCGUGCUUGAGGACUGGAGAGGAGACUGGAAUUUACGGUGUAGCGGUGAAAUGCGUAGAUAUGACAUAGAACACCAAUUGCGAAGGCAGCUGGCUACACAAAUAUUGACACUGAGGCACGAAAGCGUGGGGAUCAAACAGG